rnacentral:rRNA from 1 species
CCUACGGGCGGCAGCAGUGGGGAAUAUUGCACAAUGGGGGAAACCCUGAUGCAGCGACGCCGCGUGAGUGAAGAAGGAUUUCGGUAUGUAAAGCUCUGUCAGCAGGGAAGAAAAUGACGGUACUUGACCAAGAAGCCCCGGCUAACUACGUGCCAGCAGCCGCGGUAAUACGUAGGGGGCAAGCGGUAUCCGGAUUUACUGGGUGUAAAGGGAGCGCAGACGGGAUGGCAAGUCAGGAGUGAAAGGCGGGGGCUCAACCCGCGGAAUGCUUUGGAAACUGGCAGGCUGGAGUGCAGGAGAGGUAAGUGGAAUUCCUAGUGUAGCGGUGAAAUGCGUAGAUAUUAGGAGGAACACCAGUGGCGAAGGCGGCUUACUGGACUGUAACUGACGCUGAGGCUCGAAAGCGUGGGGAGCAAACAGGAUUAGAUACCCUUGUAGUC